CUACGUGCCAGCAGCCGCGGUAAUACGGAGGGUGCGAGCGUUAAUCGGAAUAACUGGGCGUAAAGGGCACGCAGGCGGACUUUUAAGUGAGGUGUGAAAUCCCCGGGCUUAACCUGGGAAUUGCAUUUCAGACUGGGAGUCUAGAGUACUUUAGGGAGGGGUAGAAUUCCACGUGUAGCGGUGAAAUGCGUAGAGAUGUGGAGGAAUACCGAAGGCGAAGGCAGCCCCUUGGGAAUGUACCGACGCUCAUGUGCGAAAGCGUGGGGAGCAAACAGGAUUAGAUACCCUGGUAGUCCACGCUGUAAACGCUGUCGAUUUGGGGAUUGGGCCUUGAGCUUGGUGCCCGAAGCUAACGUGAUAAAUCGACCGCCUGGGGAGUACGGCCGCAAGGUUAAAACUCAAAUGAAUUGACGGGGGCCCGCACAAGCGGUGGAGCAUGUGGUUUAAUUCGAUGCAACGCGAAGAACCUUACCUACUCUUGACAUCCA
rnacentral:rRNA from 1 species